UCCACUCGCUACCCCUGUGUGCUCAUACCUUUAAUUGUUGCUUCGGCGGGACUUCGCGCCCGCCGGGGACCCAAACCUUCUGAAUUUUUUAAUAAGUAUCUUCUGAGUGGUUAAAAAAAAUGAAUCAAAACUUUCAACAACGGAUCUCUUGGUUCUGGCAUCGAUGAAGAACGCAGCGAAAUGCGAUAAGUAAUGUGAAUUGCAGAAUUCAGUGAAUCAUCGAAUCUUUGAACGCACAUUGCGCCCGUCAGUAUUCUGGCGGGCAUGCCUGUUCGAGCGUCAUUACGCCCCUCAAGUCCCCUGUGGACUUGGUGUUGGGGAUCGGCGAGGCUGGUUUUCCAGCACAGCCGUCCCUUAAAUUAAUUGGCGGUCUCGCCGUGGCCCUCCUCUGCGCAGUAGUAAAGCACUCGCAACAGGAGCCCGGCGCGGUCCACUGCCGUAAAACCCCCCAACUUUUUAUAGUUGACCUCGAAUCAGGUAGGACUACCCGCUGAACUUAAGCAUAUCAAUAACCGGAGGAAA
rnacentral:rRNA from 1 species